rnacentral:rRNA from 1 species
UAGGGAAUUUUCGUCAAUGGGGGGAACCCUGAACGAGCAAUGCCGCGUGAGUGAAGAAGGUCUUCGGAUCGUAAAGCUCUGUUGUAAGUGAAGAACGGUCAGUAGAGGAAAUGAUACUGAAGUGACGGUAGCUUACCAGAAAGCCACGGCUAACUACGUGCCAGCAGCCGCGGUAAUACGUAGGUGGCGAGCGUUAUCCGGAAUCAUUGGGCGUAAAGGGUGCGCAGGUGGUACAUUAAGUCCGAAGUAAAAGGCAGCAGCUCAACUGCUGUUGGCUUUGGAAACUGGUGAACUGGAGUGCAGGAGAGGGCGAUGGAAUUCCAUGUGUAGCGGUAAAAUGCGUAGAUAUAUGGAGGAACACCAGUGGCGAAGGCGGUCGCCUGGCCUGCAACUGACACUGAGGCACGAAAGCGUGGGGAGCAAAUAGG